rnacentral:lncRNA from 1 species
UUGAUUUAAACUAAAUCUUUAAGCAUGUUUAACAGUAAAGAUGAUGCUUCAUUUUGCAAUAAAUGUCUGAAAUUUUAUACCAUAUGAAAAUAUAAGUUUUGGCAAAUAACAGUAACACUUGUAAUAAUAUUUUUAUGUGAUCGUAAAUAUCUAUGCAUUGAGAGGGGUUGAUUUUCAGUUGCAUUUUCCAAGAUCUGUUGUAUGUUGAGGGAAAUCUGUAUGCCACUGUGAUCAUAAUGGGUUAUAAAUGUCAGUCCAGGCUGUCUUCUCUCCAAUCCCAAGAUGGUCCAGAAGCUUUUCCACUAAAUCUGCGGUAUGAAGUAGUUGGUUAAUUUGCAUGAAAUAUUUGAAGUUUUGUUAUCCUUUAAAUACCACUUGAAGGAUUUCUCACUUGUACAAAGAAUAAAUGCACCUUUGAAGUGUCUCUUACUACCUCUAAUAUACUUAAUAAUUUGAAAUAGCAUUUGAAAUUUUUGCUUAAUUUUGAAGUUAUAUUUCAGUAAACUUAAUUUUAAAUGAAAUACAGUUUUAAAAGUUUGCUUUUCUGCUAAUUAUAAUACAUUUGUUCAGUUUGAGGGAGGGGAUUAAUAUGAAAUAGAUUUUCUUGGCAGUGUUAUAUCUUAAUCACGAACAGCAGAUUUUUGCACAUGUGCUUUGCCUAGUUGUCAUGCUGCAUUUAUCUCCGCCAUUUCCAUCCUACUAAAAACCCUAAUGAUGAUGAUACUAUGUGUAUAAUGUAAUGAGGUGAAAAAGGAAAUAUGUUAUAAGAUGUGGAGUAAAUUGAGUUCAAAUUGGUAAGCCCAUUUUCUUAUUGUCUUGCUGAAGUUCAGCCAUGAUUUUGCAAAGUAAAAAAGAAUUUUAGAAUGCAGUAUUAAUUUUUGAGGACAAUUGAAAAGUAUUCAAAUGUAAAAUAAUUGUAACCAAAAUAUUAUAUUUAUAUCUUAUGAAAUGGUGAAAGAAAGAACUUGUUACUUUUGUUAAAGUUUUCAUCAGCAGCCUUCUAGCUUUUAAUAGUUUAUUUUGGAACAUGAAAAGAUAAAAUGAGUAUUUGAUCUUUUAGAAAUUAACUGGGGAGGGGGUUUGUGUAUUUUUAAUCUCGUAUAGUUUAUUGUCAGGAAAUAGAGGUUUAUUGUCGGGAAUUGUUGAGAAAUAGAAAAUAGAAAUGUGAACUGAAGAGUGGUAACCAUUAUAACUUAUCGAGCGUUGUCAUUAUUUUGCUAAUUGAAUAAUUCAAAUGAAAUAUAAAUCAGUUUUGAUAUUAACUUAUUUCAGUAUUCAGAUUUUAAUGUGGUGGUUUCUUGACUUGUAUUAAAAUUUUCUGUGAAUUAAGCUUUUAAGGUUAAUUAAUAGUGGGAGAGUGGUGGGGGAACUGCAUUACUAAUAAUUUAUUUGUCAAACUCCUUGAAAACAGCAGGUUAACUUGCAGUGAUAAGGCAUCCUCACAGUUUCUUGUAUUGAUCCUGCUUGAAAGAAUCAUUUCCCAUGUAAAAAUGUAAAGGUAUAGAGAGAUUAACACGUCCUGACCAGAUUAGUAGCUUAAAACUGCCUUAAAGUAGAGAAGUUCAUGAAAGAUCAUAUGCAUAACAAUGAGUUGUAAAAUGGUAACUUAUUUUUAUGUUGGUGUAUUAUGUAAAUGGUUUCAAACAUCAUGUCAAAACAAGUUUUCUCAUAUCUGUACUAUUUAAAUUGCAAACAUAAUUGAUAUACAAUCAAUUUUUGAUGAUAUCUGUAUUGUAAAUAAUAUCAAUUUUCUAUAAUUAUUUAUAAAUCUUAAUUUCUGUUACUAUAUUGUCAGUACAUUAAUUGGUCAAAUUAGAAAAAUAAGGGGUUAGGCUGUUGCUAACUAAUUUUUUACCAGCUAAGUAUGACCUGUGGAAGAAUGUCCUGAAAAAUAGAGUAAAGAAGCAUAGCAUGUGGUGUGACAGAAAGCUUGAAACCUACAGUAAAGUUAACAGAAAGAGGUUCAUUAUGAUAGCCUGUAUAAAAUAAUAUUUAGUGGAAAGACCCAGAGACAA